GGCAAAAAAGCUUUCUUUCUCCAAAAUCAGUGCUUUCUGUUUAUUCGGAGGGGAAUUAGCGAAGAUCCGGUGCGGAGAAAGCUUUUCCUCCCACUAAUUUUAGCGGAAUGUACUUUUGAGAUAGAGUAGUGUUAGAAGAUCCAUUUCGUCAGUGUCUCUUCCAGCUCCGGUCCUUUCUGCUCCUUUGCCUUUAGGACAAAUCUUUUCCUCUGGGCUCAAGAGGGAUAAGCAAAGACAAGGGGCGAGCGGAGGAGUGGUGAGGGGAGGUAGGAUUUUACUCUCGCUGCUGGAGCGGGACGCCGUCCUUUAAGCAACGAGCUGCGAAGAACUCAAACCCAGGAGGACUAAAAUCAAAGGGCUAAAGGGCGCCGGCGAGGCACAACCGCUUUCCCGAGGAGAUCCCACCGGGGGAUCCGUCCUGGCUACCUUGCAACCCGAACACUGAAGUAUCUGGAGUAUUGGAAGCAUUUAAGCAGAAACCGGCUGAUGGCGCUGCGCGUCCCCCCCCUUAGAGAACGCAAGAGGUACCAACGCUCGUGAAGUUACCGGAGGGAUCCCGCAUUCCUACUCCGCGCGUUUCAUGCAGAGCAGAAAGGAAGCUGGCCGAGCUGCAGUGGGAGAGUGGAAGGAAAAACAGCCCCUUUCUUCCUGCGUCCCGAUCCCCAAUUUGUCGGCAGGGAGACCUGGUUUUCUCAGCGUAAGCCAACAAAAGGAGGCGACUCCAGUUGCACUUAUUUCCACCGCGCGUCCCGGUUACGGUUCGAGAAACCUGCGUUGAUAAAACAUUGGUUUAAGGGUUCAGAGCGCCCCCUGAUGGAGCAGGGUUGCAAUAAUAAUUGUCGUUUUUGAACACCCGCUUGGGUGCUGUUGAGAGGAGAGGGGUG